rnacentral:rRNA from 1 species
CACGUAGGGGCCAAGCGUUGUCCGGAUUUAUUGGGCGUAAAGAGCUCGUAGGCGGUUUGUCGCGUCGGCCGUGAAAUCUCCACGCUUAACGUGGAGCGUGCGGUCGAUACGGGCAGACUUGAGUUCGGUAGGGGAGACUGGAAUUCCUGGUGUAGCGGUGAAAUGCGCAGAUAUCAGGAAGAACACCUAUGGCGAAGGCAGCUCUCUGGGACGGUACUGACGCUGAGACGCGAAAGCGUGGGGAGCGAACAGG